CAACUCUCUCAUGUUGUCUGUUUAAAAUUCAUCUUACCAGCAGGAACCACCACAGGAGGUCUUGGGGCCAUAAUGUGGGGCGCGGCCGGCGGCAUGGGCACCACAUUAAUGCGGGGAGCAGGAAUCAUGGGAG